AAUUUUUCUUACUUUCACAAAAACGAAUCCAAAUUUCUCAUACUACCAAAAUCGGACCCAAAUUCUACGUGCAAAUAAGCGAGAUCUCUUAUUCCCUACUUUAUUUUGUUCAGUAUAUUAAAAAGGAUCACCUGCGUGGGAAUUCCUGAUUCGACCUGCGUAGAACGUUUUUCAAGAUAGAGCAGGUAGACCGGAACUCAUCACGCUCGGAUGGAGAAAAUAAAUCAUAAUAGAAACCAUCAAUGCAUUAUAUCUUAAAUACAAAAUAAAAGUGUGCGAUGAAUUUCAGUAGAAAAUUUACGCCAAAUUUUUAUACGUUUACUCUCGCAUGCACGCAAUUUUUAUAUCAUAUAUAUUUUUGAAUUGAUGUAGAAUUUUUAAGCAGGAAAUAUGUAGUUAUUUGAGAAAUCUGCUAGGCUUCAUGAUCAAUUUGCAGCUGACGGGGUAAACUGGGUGCAAAAAACCGUGAAAAAUAUUUCUUCAUUUUAAAAGUUCAGCUUUCUGGUCGCUGCCUCGCCGCCUCAUAAACACGAAAUUUGCUUGUAUGCCAAAAAUAGAUCAAUUCAUCCACUUGGGCUACGAGGAGCAAUGUCGUUUGCUUUGGAUAUAAGAAACACUUUAUCAGAGGCCCGCUAAACCUUGCUAACCGCCACUUCUUUAAUUGUUAUAUUCACAGUCAUCAUCCAAGGUGGUGGCGCAAAUUUUUUACUUAACUGGCUAAAAAUACUGUAAGUUUCUGGAGAUAGUACGCGGAAAAAGUGUUUUGUUUUUUAUUUUCGUCGACGUGCGCAGUCUUUCUUACCGAUAAAUCUCAAAUCUGUUGCUAACCCAGCAUUACAUUGAUACGGCAUUGAAUUUCUUUCGUAUGGCAUUAAUACGUCUUUUAACUCGUGACCGUAAAAGUACACAUAUAUAUACGGCAUGUGUGUACAUUACUUGUCGCUUCGAAGGCACAUCACAUUUAUUGAUUGACAUAAUAAUAAUAAUUCUACAGCCUAUUGUGUCACAUACGUCUAACUUGGACCAAUUUGUGAGAUACAAUAACACUUACAAUUUAGAGUUUUGUAAAAAUCUCAUUGAGACAUAUUUGGCAAUAUUAAUAUAUAUGGAUUCGCGAUGUGGUCGCCAAACACACAUUGAUAUUAAUCAACAAUGGCGUAUGUGUAUUGAAAAAUAAAACAGAUCCUUACUCAUAUCAUCUACAAUAAUUAAUUAUUUAAUUAUAUUGGGCAUUGGGACUCAUACGCAAACGACACUGCAGCCAAAGCUUGUACGCACUCUUGAUGUCAUGGAUGUUACCACUGUUGUUGCCAACGGUCUAUCGCUCACUUGGGGGUGAUUUUUUUUUUUAUAAAAAAUAUGUUUGACCCUGCGGAUGUUUUACACCUUUACCAGACCAAUCGCCACGUAACAUGUAUCAGUGUCAAAUGACUAAGCAGACGAUGGGUACACCGUGCCUGAAUUGGCCUAAGCAAGCUGGCACCAAAAUGUAUCGUCUGCAGACUCCAGCUGCACCUUUAUUUCGCCCUGUGCAUUACGACAAUGUGGGCUUAGACGAUUUUGCCAUGGGCACUAAUGCAAUUUUGGCGGUUAUUUCUUACACCGGCUAUGAUAUGGAGGAUGCCAUGAUUAUAAAUAAAUAUGCCUAUGAACGUAAUUUCGCUCACGGUAGCAUCUAUAAAUCAAAAUUUUUUUAAUUGAGUGGAACUUGCUAUUUUGCUCGUAAAACGAUAUGCCUGUUAGUAAAGUGCCGAAAGAAUUCAUUUAUUGCUUGCUUGUUAUAUUAAGAGAAAAUAUGGUAAUAAAAGAGGAUUUGCAUUUGAUGUAUUUUCCUUCGCUAUUAUUUGCAGGCAGAUUUAAUAUAUUACGGGGUUGCAAAAAUCUUUCUAUUGCAUUUAUUUUCUACUACAUAUCUUGAGUUUUGCUUUAUCUCUGAAAGAAAAAUUUGCCCUG